UACGUAGGGGGCAAGCGUUGUCCGGAUUUACUGGGCGUAAAGAGCGUGUAGGCGGCCAAGCAGGUCCGUUGUGAAAACUGGAGGCUUAACCUCCAGACGUCGACGGAAACCGCCCGGCUAGAGUCCGGAAGAGGAGAGUGGAAUUCCUGGUGUAGCGGUGAAAUGCGCAGAUAUCAGGAAGAACACCAGUGGCGAAGGCGGCUGACUGGGCCAUUACUGACGCUGAGGCGCGAAAGCGUGGGAGCAAACAGG
rnacentral:rRNA from 1 species